UCUUAACAUAAGACUUCCUUGACAACGGGAAUGGCGGCGUAACGAUGCACGCUAAGCGGGUUUAAUUUACAUAAAAAAGCACAUCAUGUAACUUAAUAACGCAGAGAUGUUUACUGUAUUGUAAUGAACAGUUGUGGAGUAAGAUGCCGACCCGUUGUGUCAUCGUGCAGCUCGUCGUGGCGUUUUGUGUGUACACAUUGCCGCUGUGUCCACGUUCCCAAGGUUAUACAAACCAACCUCCGACGGAUCUGAGUGAUCAUCCUUUUACUGAUGGCGUUAAUUCAACAGCAGACUUUGUAAUGGAUGUGAAUUCAACAGAUUCUCCAGACUUCGGACCCAGAGCCAAUACUGAUGGUCCAGUCGUGUCCACGGUCCAAACCCCAAUCACACAAGCUUCUGAUGGUUGCACCUGCAAUGUCACUCCUGAUUUCUGCGAUAUUGGCUGCUGCUGCGAUGUUGUGGACUGCGGCAUCGCUGAUCUGAGCUCUGUGUUCAAUAACUGUAGGCAAGAAACAAGGGCUGGAGUGUGCAUCGAGAGCUGGCUGAUGUUCCGAGCCAAUGUGGACCCUCAGCUGGUGACAGAUACGGGUUCUCUGUUCUGCGUUCGGAGCGGGAGCGGUAACGACGGCUCAGCACAGACUGCACCUGCUGCCUCUGAAGGGCCGUUCUCCAUCUUUUCUCCUCAUUUCUCAUUAGCGGAGGUCAACGGCGCUCAGAACCCGAGCAUUUAUAAGGUUGAUGAUGUCAUUCUGACGUAUUACAACACCACAUCCAUAGCGAGCGUGCUCAGACAGCCGUCGUCAGGCGCGGCGUCUUCGUCAUGCGUCGACCGCAAUCCCGCAAAGUUUCUGCGUUCUGGCUCUUUGUCCUGUUCCCGAGUUGUGAGUGCUCAGUCGUGUAGACGAGACAGCGGUCUGAGUUUUAGCUCCUAUUUCACAGGGUUCAGUCUCAUAAGGGUUCCACGUCCCUCAGAAAUGGACAUAUCGAAGAUUAUGAUACCCGUUAUCCCACUGGUCAACCCACCCGAACUCGCUGAGCACAAUGGUUCCUGUAUGAACGUGGUGACAAAGGUGGAAUAUGUGAUUACGUACACCAGCGCAGGAGAAAUUACAGCAGCAGUCGUAAUAGUCAAUGUUUCGGAUGCUAGUUUUGGCACGCAGAUACUGCAACAACAUGCUGUCCAGUUUCAGUUGGACACACCCUCAUCUCCUCCUAAAUUUCCAUUGGUUGGCUUGGAGGUUGGGACUCCAGUGAUUGGAUGGUUUGGUGGACAACCUGGACCUGUAUCCUUUUGCAGUUUUCUCUUCCUUUUACAUUACAUUACAUUUUAUGGCACUUGGCAGACGCACUUAUCCAGAGCGACUUACAUUUAUCUCAUUUAUACAACUGAGCAAUUGAGGGUUAAGGGUCUUACCCAAGGGCCCAACAGUGAUAGCUUGGCAGUGCUGGGGCUUGAACCACUCCAACCACUGAGCUUAAUAAUGAAUAAUGGCUGUUGGGUAGGCAUGUGCUCUAAGGAAACCUUUUAUUAUUAUGUUUUGCGAUAUUACCCCUUAUAAAAAUCACGUUUAUCUGCACAGAUUUACACUGGGCAGUAAAGUGCUGACUGACCCAACUGUAACAUCCUAUGCAGUGUCUACAGCACAUUAUUAUUACUAACCUCUCUUCUUAGAUAAAGAAAAACACCCCGUCGCAAAAAACGUGGACUAAAUGGAGUUUAGGGGCGGUGCUGACAGACCUGCCAAUCUUUUGCCAAUGGCUUUUGUAUAGGAGCUCUGUGAUUAUGCUACUACGAGUCAUUACUCAAAAAUGCUCCAAAAGAGGGUUUUUUUUUUGUUUUGUUUUUUUCAAAUCUCAAACACUUUACAAAUAAUUUUAAUGGUAAUUAAAAUGUGAUUUUCCCUCAUGUGAUAGAAUGUAAUAACGUGCUGUGUUUGUUAAAAGUAUUUGCCCCCAUCCUGACUUCUUCUGUUUUUGUGUAUAUCUCGUACUAAAUUGUUUCAGAAAUGAAAAAUAAAAUCUAAGAUAAAACUAAGGCGACCCGAGUGAACACAAAAUGCAGUUGUUUUUUUUUAUUAUAACGUUAUUUAUUGAAGCAAAAUAGUCAUCCAAUACCAUCUGGGCCUGUGUGAAAGUGUAUUUGCCCCCAUCAUUACAAAUUCCCCAAAUCUAUGGAACUGCAUUGAUAAUGGGGUUCAGCUGGACUAGACACAACCAGACCUGAUUACUGCAAACCCUGUUCAAUCACAUCAUCACUUAAAUAGAACUUUUUCAGCAGCAUGAAGUUGGUUAAAAGGUCUUACCCAGUAACACACUAUGGCAAAGUUGAAAGAAAUUCCAGAAAUGAUGAGGAAGAAGGUGAUUGAAAUACAUCAGUCUGGGAAGGGUUACAAAGCUAUUUCAAAGGCUCUGGGACUCCAAAGAACCACAGUGAGAGCCGUUAUCUCCAAAUGGAAAAACUUGGCACGGUAGUGAACCUUCCCAGAAGUGGCCGACCUUCCAAAAUUCCUCGAAGAGCACAGCAGCGACUCAUCCAGGAAGUCACAAAAGAGCCAAGAACACCACCAAAGGACCUACAGGUCUCUCUUGCAUCAAUAAAUGUCACUGUUCACGAUUUCAGAAAGACACUGGGCAAAAAUGGCCUCCAUGGAAGAGUGGUGAGAUGAAAACCACUGCUGACCCAGAAGAACAUUAAGACUCGUCUGAAUUUUACCAAAACGCACCUUGAUGAUCCUCAAACCUUUUGGGAGAAUGUUCUGUGGACUGAUGAGUGGAAAGUGGAACUGUUUGGAAGACAGGAGUCCCGUUACAUCUGGUGUAAACCAAACACAGAAUUCCACAAAAAGAACAUCAUACCCACGGUCAAGCAUGGUGGUGGAAGUGUGAUGGUGUGGGGAUGCUUUGCUGCUUCAGAGCAUCCAAGAAUUGAGGGCAUCAUUAAUUCUGCUCUCUACCAGAAAAUCCUAAAGGAAAAUGUCUGGUCUUCAGUCCGUAAAUUGAAACUCAAGCCCAACUGGAUUAUGCAGCAAGACAACGAUCCAUAGCCUAGGAGAGGACAGUGCUCUACCGACCUCACCAACCGAGCACCCAUCCUGUUCACACACAACACCAUCACCGGCUGCACCUUCAGGUUAAUGCAGGAUGACUGCAGCUCACUGAGAGCUCAGAUCUACAGCAUCCUCCGUGGGACAAG